AUGGUGCCAAGGUCGAAGGCAUCGUGGUGGCGCAUUGGAGCUGGAGGAGGCGGUGGGCCAGCACUGUUUGUGCUCAAGACGUACGAGAUGGUGGACAGCCCAUCGACGGAAGCAGCGGUCUGGUGGAGUGACGUGUUGGACACGACCUUCGUGGUCUGGUGCUCGCUGGAGUUUUCAUCUUCAAGCACAGAAAUUUCUCCAGUUUCAUCCAUGAGCUCCCCCCAACCCUCUCUUACUGAAUCCCUACGCACCCCAAGCAAUCUCGGUCAAGUUUGUGCGGAUUUGGGUUUAAGAUCUGUGCAUGUGCGGGGAAUUUAUUAG
rnacentral:rRNA from 1 species